AAUGAACGCUGGCGGCAUGCCUAACACAUGCAAGUCGAGCGAAGACUUCGGCCUUAGUGGCGCACGGGUGCGUAACGCGUGGGAAUCUGCCCUCGGGUUCGGAAUAACAGUUAGAAAUGACUGCUAAUACCGGAUGAUGUCGUAAGACCAAAGAUUUAUCGCCCAAGGAUGAGCCCGCGUAGGAUUAGCUAGUUGGUGAGGUAAAGGCUCACCAAGGCGACGAUCCUUAGCUGGUCUGAGAGGAUGAUCAGCCACACUGGGACUGAGACACGGCCCAGACUCCUACGGGAGGCAGCAGUGGGGAAUAUUGGACAAUGGGCGAAAGCCUGAUCCAGCAAUGCCGCGUGAGUGGUGAAGGCCUUAGGGUUGUAAAGCUCUUUUACCCGGGAUGAUAAUGACAGUACCGGGAGAAUAAGCUCCGGCUAACUUCGUGCCAGCCGCCGCAGUAACAC
rnacentral:rRNA from 1 species